rnacentral:rRNA from 1 species
GAUGAACGCUGGCGGCGUGCCUAACACAUGCAAGUCGAGCGAUUCUCUUCGGAGAAGAGCGGCGGACGGGUGAGUAACGCGUGGGUAACCUGCCCUGUACACACGGAUAACAUACCGAAAGGUAUGCUAAUACGAGAUAAUAUACUUUUAUCGCACGGUAGAAGUAUCAAAGUUUUUGCGGUACAGGAUGGACCCGCGUCUGAUUAGCUAGUUGGUAAGGUAACGGCUUACCAAGGCGACGAUCAGUAGCCGACCUGAGAGGGUGAUCGGCCACAUUGGAACUGAGACACGGUCCAAACUCCUACGGGAGGCAGCAGUGGGGAAUAUUGCACAAUGGGCGAAAGCCUGAUGCAGCAACGCCGCGUGAGCGAUGAAGGCCUUCGGGUCGUAAAGCUCUGUCCUCAAGGAAGAUAAUGACGGUACUUGAGGAGGAAGGCCCGGCUAACUACGUGCCAGCCGCCGCCGUAA